UGUUGUAGGUUGCUUUGGAUACAAGUGUCAGCUGAAUGCCUAAAUGUAAAUGAAAGUGCUAUAUUUGUUCAUCAUCGUGGAAAUUUAAAUGAACAGUUCAGCUGAAAAAAGAUUUUUUUUUGAGGAGUGCAGGGUCCAACCCCAUCACAACUUUUACCUUUCUUUAGGUGGACUUUGACGGGAACGUACGUAAGAUAGAAGUGAAAACCUCACGAGAUCAGAGAUCAAAACUCACUGGGAUCAGUGCAUUCUCGACAUGAUUUACCGACAUGCUAUCUAUGCUGCCAGCAGUACACUGACUGUAACUGGGAUCAUUAAGUGUCACCUCCUGCUCCAGCACAAUGGAGCAUUUGUGCCAUUGCCAAAAAAGCAAGGAAACCAGAAAGCGUGUGUUCCCUGAGGAUGAAAACCCGUGACCUCUGUGCUGCUAAGGAGUUGAGCUACAGGAACUUCACGAUGAAACAAAGAAAAUCCUACAGAGAACGGCAAGUUUGGACUAAAACCCUCUACUUCCUGUUUUAAUGAUGUCACAAGAACAGUUUUUUGACUAAACUCCGCCCACAGGAAAACGUCAGUCGCCAGAUAAGCUAACGGUAAGCUAAGCAGCUAUCGAAUCACAACACACUAAACAAACUACACAAUCAGAACUCGAUACGUAUUUCUGAAGGAGGGACUUCAUAGAACAAAGAAGACAUCAGCCCAUUUUUAGGACAGUGAAAACAACGCUAUACAGAUUAGUAAAUUCUGAAAAUAAAAACAUGUUUUUUACACGUGAAACAUGAACACAUGUUAUAUUUUUAUAGU